AAGUCGUAACAAGGUAUCCGUAGGUGAACCUGCGGAUGGAUCAUUAAUAAUAUCCAACCGAGUGAUUCUCUUUAUUGAGAAGAACUCAUCUUACCUGUGAACUGGAAAUGAUGCUUGCAUUGUUUCGCAACUUGUACUAUUUUUAUUAUUUUAAUUUUAAUUUCAAUUUGGAAAUUUAUUUCUAAAGCGAAAGAAAAAUCAAUGACAACUUUCAGCAAUGGAUCUCUUGGCUCUU
rnacentral:misc_RNA from 1 species